rnacentral:lncRNA from 1 species
AGCACCUCACUCCCAAACCACCCCGAAGAGGGAUGAAAGUUUGCCAUAUGGGGUGAGGAUGGAGGGGCGAAGAAUGAAGAAAGCGGUCGAGGAUCCCACGCGUCACAAAACUGUUACUCAUUUGACAGCAAAGCAAUAGGGGCAAAAUUGAAAUAACAAAAAAGAAGCAGGGAUGAAAAUGGAAGAACACUGUUAAUGAACAGUGUUUUUUGUGUUGGGUUUUAGUAUAUGUAUAAUAUCACUCUGUAAACAAACGGACUUGGCCAAGACCCUAGUAGCUUCACUUCUUCCAUUAUUCGUGUGAUCAGGUGAUCGAGGCAGGCCUAAUCAUACAUAUAUACUAAUUUAAAUUUGACUGGGUCUCUAAAUAAAUUGUAAGAAAAUGAAAUUGCAGAGUCACCCUAUUUGCAGAGUCGUUUUUUUUUAUUAAAUUUUAUUUAUUUAUAUAUAUAUAUAUAUUUUGUUUUUUUUGUUUUUUUGAAGAGCCGGUCUUUCUUGUUUUAGGGUAGCAAAAUUAUAAAAAUUUGCCCAGUAUCUGUGGUUUGCAGAUAAUAUCACUGUUCUUUCGCGUCUAAUAAAGUGAUUAAUUACUCAUUCUAAAAUUUUACUAGGAGAAGCAAUUUUUGCACUCUGUUCUACUAUUUUGUACACUCAUAUUUGUUUAGAUUGUUUGAACAUUUUGUUUAUAUAUGCAAGAAAAGGUCGAAAACGAAUAGGGUGUACAAGAAGAGUGAAAAUAUGAGAAAAUCACUUGUAUUUUCUCAAAUGACAGAGGAGAAGGUGCAUGAUUUGUUUUCUAGUUCUUGGCGUGAGAAAACAAUGGGCUUGUUUACCCAAAAAUACAAAAGGGCUGCCGUUUCAAACUCACCUAAUUUCUUUGAAAAGAUGUGAUUAUUCCCAACUCUAAUCUUGACCUAUAGUCAUGGACUAGCAACGGUGCCCGUGCGAUGCUGCGGGUUUAAAAUUGUAGAUGUUCAAAUCUAUUUACAACUGUUACCAAUUUGAAUGAGAUGUACAAAGAAUUUGUGCAAGCUGGACACAUGGAAUAUCAAUAGUGACAUAAUUUUUUCUUAAGACAUUGGAAAAACUAAGUUAAAACUUGUAAUCACACGACUCUUCAAUCACAUGACACAAAACACAACUACUGUUCACAAACAUGUAUUAGCCAAGAAUGGAAAAUCACCAACGAUGAAAUGUGGUAACAAAUCAAUAACCUCACUUAUAUAGCUUUAGGAUUAACUAUGCUAAUUUGUUUAUGUAAGUGAUCUGUCUGCCCACAUUUUCCUUUUUUUUAGCAGACAAUAGACAUAUUUUGUUUUUUUAAAAUGUGCGAUGACAUAUAAUACUAUAACAGAAUGAUGAAACAAAACAGGUUAAUUUUUUAGCACAACAUGGGUUAAAAUUACCUACAUUUUACAUAUGCAGAUUAAGGGAAGUGGUGGCAAACCUUGUAAUUUGUGCAAGUUGAUCAUCUGCAAUAUCAACAGUGACAUAAUUUGUUGUUAAGGCACUGGAAAAAUUAUAUUAGAACCUGUAAUUACAUGACACUCGAAUCACAUGAUAGAAAACCACAGAGAAUAGAAAUUGAAAAAAAAGAAGUUGAUAGAAAUUGAAAAAAAAAAAGAAGUUGAACACAUUAAGUCUUCACAAAACUCCCAAGAAUGAAAAAUAAGCAAAAAUACAGAUUACCAAUGAAGAAAUGAGGAAACCUAUCAGCAACCUAAAUUGUACGCUCAUUUUAAAUAAGUAUGAUAGAGAGUUAACAUUAUAAUCAAAUUUGAUGAGCCCAACUGGAGAAAAUUGAAUACUAACAUUCAAAGUGGAUUAAAAAGAUGAGAAUAUGCUUUAAAUAAGUAUUAAGUCUGUAUUUAUGUGUAGUACAAUUGUGUGGGAUUAGAAAUUGAAUAUACUAUCUUAUAACUGAAUGAUCAUGCAAGGAAAAUUACCGUGAGAUUGUAAGGAGCAUGGAAAAGUAAUCUAAACAAUUAACAUUACUGAUUAGUAGUUAACUUCUUAGCAUUUUCAUUGUAAAAAUUAAAUAUAAGGGUGUAAAAAGAUGGAUCAGAUUUAGUUGGUUUGGUAAUUUUCCAAGUUAUUUCAGUCUUCAUCAUUUGGAGGAAUAACAUCACUUCCAUCUUUCAACUGUUACUAAUUUAUACACAGACUUUAUUCUUUUGACCUAUUCUAAAUGCAUGAUUAAUCACUUGACUAUACACUGAGUGGUUUAAGAUGGACAUCCAAAAGUAUAAACAGAGAUGCUACCACCAAAGAUGCACCCUCUCCACAUGCUUUAGCCAAAUAACACGUUAGGAGUGGGGGUACCAUUAAAUCUAAUUAAUGAGUGAUGGGAAUGGUUUAUGAAUAGAUUUAACAAUUCCACCAUUACUAAGGUGUUCUUUGGCUUAAUUAAAGCUUGUGGAGAGGGUAUAUCUCUGGUGGGGACAUCUAUAGUCAUACUUUUGGAUGUCCAACUUAACCCCUUAGUGUGCAGGCAAGCAAUUAGCCAUGUAUUGAGACCAGGUGAAAAUAGGAUAGUAUGUAUGUGUGUGUGUGUGUACAUAUAUUGGUAGUAGUUAACUCCCCCAAAGAGAAACAAUAGCAAAGAUUGAAUUUAAAUGCAAAAUGCCAACGAAAGAAAACCAAGAAAAUCUAAAUAAUUUCACAUACCAUUGGAUCCUUGCGAAACCUAUUUGUUGAAGCUACAACUUGGUUGUUGACUUUGUGAUUUCUUCUCUCUUUUUUUAGUGUGUAAUUGUUAGACAAAGCUUGUAACAUCUUAUUUCAUACCUAGACACCAAUCAUGUAAACUUCAUUCAUUAGAAUAUGUCUGAUCUUUCUGAAAUUCCAUGAAUUGUAAUUUUUUACCAAAAAAAUUGACAAAGGUCAAUAUCACACUCUCAACCAAACAUUAAAAAAGUGGAGGGACAAAACAAACAGGUUUUAGUCCUCACUAUAGUUAAAAUAGUUAUGUUAUUUGACAAUUAAAUAGCAGUGAUAGGUAUCAUCUGGAUUAAGAAAAUUAGUCAUUGAAGAAUCUCCAAGAAAUUAUCAAAGUGGAUUCAAGUUUAUAAAAUUUUUAUUGAAAUAAACUAAAAAAAGUAAUAGAAAUCAAGCUAACCUGUGUUUGGUAUAUGGAAGAUACUGGAUCUCCUUUUGGCCUUUGUAAAUGGCAUGUUGUUCAUUGUGUACAAAGCUAAAAAAACACAGUAAAAAUGUUAAUCUAGGCCAGAAAAAGUAUAUAUAGAGUGUAUUAUGUAAAUAUUUUCAUAUAAAGUAAGAAUAUUUAAAACAAUUAAUUGCAAAAAAAAAUAAAAUUUCAAAGAUAAGUCAGAGAAAUCUUUGAAGCAGAGAAAUAUAACAAAAGUUUUCCAAUUGUAGCCAUGCAUAAACCACUAAAAAAAGCCAAGUAUAUUGACAUAGCUGGAAUGCUAACCAGAAGACAUUAGGUUACGUGGAUAAAAAUGGAUUCAAAUAGAAUUGAAAAAGGGUAGGAACAAAUUUUUCGGAUUGAAAUUGACACAUGUAUAGCAAAGAACAUUAAGUUUUAACUUUUAAGCAUAUCAACUCAUGAAGCAUCCCAACAUAUAUAUGGAAAAAGAAUGAUACAAAUACCAGCAUACACAUGUAAAAGCAAUUAUUAACACAACUAACAAACAUUUGUAAAUUAAAAAUUUUGCACUAUUUAACAGCCCGACUCACCUUUCCCCUUUUUUUUCUCAAUUUGACCAAGAGCACUUUGCAGCUCAUAUACAGUGCUUCCAUACCAAUCUGCAGCAAAAAGUGAAAUUACAAAUUAAACACACACAAAACAGUAAAAGUAAAGUAUUUUUCUUUCCAUUCAAAGCAAUGCAUAACUGAAAAAAGCAUAAUUGUAAAAAAGAUUAAACUUUUUUUUUCAAAGCAUAUAUCGUCUAAAACCCAACGUUUAUAAACAGUCGCAUUUUUUGUCAAAAUUGUAUUUGCUUUACCUCCAUAAGUUUGAUUUCUUUUCAGUGUUUUUUAGAGCUUGACGAAACCAUGAAGAGACAAACAACAGCACUCAACUGUUUUUGCAACCUUGUAACCAGUUACACAAAUAAGAAUGCAACAUUUCUAUUAAAGCAUGUAAUUCUCCUCUUCCUAUAUUCUUCCCCUUUCUCUAGCUAAAUAAAAAUUUCCAAAACUAUGUACCAAAAGCUCAAAAGUGGGAUUCAAAGAGUCAAAAUGUUCAAAUGCUAUAUUUUUAUUAGGACUUCAUAGUCUAUUUAACACUUGGUUUCUCGAGUAGUAAGUUUCCCAUUCUUUGUCUAGUUAAUUUCACACGCCUACAACAAAUAAAAUAGUUGAAUAAUUUCAGUAUUUUUAUGUGCCUACUAAAGUACACAUAUGAAUAUCAAAACAAAAACCUCCAAUUAUCAUAGCAUUCCCUUUCUAUCUUUAUUUUUGAAAAAGAAAACACAAAUGGAAGAAAAAAUUCCACAAUUUGAACUUGUAACUCGUAACCACAGAGAGUCAAUAGCACUUCAAUUAUGUAAGAAGGGAAAGGGGGUGCAAAUAAGUGAUGCUCAAUUGAAAUCACUGCCUAGUUGUCAACUCUUUACUGAGUUUAUCCCAAUCAGCAACACUUUAACACAUCACCUUCCAAAAACUCUGCAUGUAUACCACGGAAUGAAAACACUUUAUACUCCAACCAACUUAACCCAUAUAACAUAUGAAGUCAUCCAACAGUUGCAGGGGGGGAAUGAAAACUGUAUCUAAUGGCACAACAACAUAAAGUUAUUUGUGGCAAAUCUUACAAUCAUAUGCGUCUCGAACCAUUUGAUAUCUGACGAAUCCUGAAAAAAAGAGUCAGCCGAAAUCAUGAAACCAAAAAAUCAGAAUGUUUACAAAGUAUUCCUUGAAGCAAAAGCAUGCGCGGGACAUUCACUUAAAAAAAUGAAAAGCUUUCAGUACCCAAAUAGCUAAAAGCCGAGAACAAAAAAAAAACAGUACCUUUGCGGGUUUGGAGCUCUUUUCUUAUAAAUAUUAUAGUAUUGGUGUGGCGCCUCAAUUCGUGGUGUUUCCGUCGAUAACAAUCGAAGGUGGGGCAGCUGGUUUGGGUGAAGAAGAAGAGGAGGAUCCAAGCCUACAAACAGAAUCACAAAAAACAAACAUAAACACAAAACCCAUCUGCACACGAUCGGAUCGGAAUCGAAAGAAAGAGAUAGAGAGAUCUAAACAAAGGGAAACACAGACGGAGAGAGAGGAGAAAAGAAGAGGAAAGGGAAAUGCCCAGAUCAGAAAACUACCACAAAGAAAAAAAAGGCGGAAGCUGAGUAGAAUACUCUCGAAGCGAAUAGAUCAACGAUGAAAGACGCGUGGCCAACAUGGGUAAAAGAGACUUUCCACUGCACAAAAAAGGAAUCAAUGCUUUGAGCCAUGAAAAAACAGAGGGCAUUUCCAACCAAACACUGUUCACGAACAGUGAAAAACAGUACCGGGGAAACCGAGUUUUAGUAUAGAUAAAAUAUCAGUAUGUCAUCACUGUGGAGAAUUUUCCUACUUGUGGGUACUGACUUUUUGACUUGUUGUUUGUAUGUGUCACCAUCAUGGAACACACUGGCAGAGCAAGUUAAGGGCUGCCCUCAACUGUAGCCCAGGUAGUUUGCAGUGAAAAAUAAAAUUUUACAUGUAAUUUUGAUUGAUUUUCGAAUGUAACCUAACAAAUAUUUAGUUACUACUUCAAAUUUUCUAGGUUUAACUAUAUAAAAUUAUAUAAUACAGUUUGAAAUAAUCUCUUUUUCUUACAUUAUUUUUCUCAUCGUUUCUUGUAAAUGUACAAGUCUGGAUUUGUUUAAUUUAACACGUAUUUGUUUAAUUACAAAAUUUUUUGACUCACCUUGUGAAUUUUUUUAAGCUAGUUGAUACUAUGAAAAAUACGAUAUCAAGUUUCUUUAUUUAUAAAAAUUAAAAAUUUUAAGCUAGCCCACCCAGUAAAAAAUUUCUAACCCCACUAUUAGAACAAUAUAAAAAGUCCGAAAAGAAAAUAUUUUUAUCUCAAAGAAAAAUGUUGAAAUAGGAUAAGUGACCACACUAUUUAGUUACGCGUACAGACUGAUGAGGUAUGGCAAAUGCAAACAGGUAGCCGAGGUCUUGAAAACUCAAGAUAUGAAGGUCGUCCCUACUAAAAGAAUUGUGCUCAAUUGUUGAGCUUCUUUUCAUUUUCUGUUUAUAUAGAACUUUACAAGUAUAGUUAAUUAGAACUUUACAGGUAUAGUGAAUAUUUCACAUGGAUACACUGCAUCAAUGUUUCUGCAUCUGAGUAUGGGCAGCAUUUGUUUAAUGCAUGCGUGGGCAGCAUUUGUUUAAUGCAUCUGCAUCUGAGUAUGGGCAGCAUUUGUUUAAUGCAUGCGUGGGCAGCAUUUGUUUAAUGCAUGCGUUGAGUGUAUUGCAGAGUCAUUCACAUGGGCAGCAUUUGUUUAAUGCAUGCGUUGAGUGUAUUGCAGAGUCAUUCAGCCCAAUAGGUUUGUGGCAUGGAUGCAUGAGCAAGAAGAGUGAGACCAGUUUCAACCAAAUGACGAUGUUUUCGUUCUGCCAUACCGUUUUGUUCAGGAUGGUGAGGGCAUGUAUAUUGAUGAUGAAUGCCAUGUUUUUCCAAAUAAGAUUUGAAAGUUUUGUUAAUAUAUUCUCCUCCACCAUCCGUUUGAAAAGUUUGGAUUUUUGUUUGAAAUUUAUUCUCCAUUUCAGUUUGAAAUUUAAUAAAUGUUGAGAACACAUCAGAUUUUAGUUUUAAUGGAUAAAGCCAUGUAUAUCGUGAAUAAUCAUCAAUGAAAAUCACAUAAUAGCGAAAACCAGAAAUUGACAAAGUAGGGGACAUCCAUACAUCAGAAUGAAUAAGUUGUAAAGGAAAAUGAGAAAUAGAAUUUGAUGGGGAAAAUGGCAAUUUCUUGCUUUUGCCCAGAGGGCAUGAAUGACAGACAGAAUUAAAAUGGUGCCUAGUAAGAGGCACUUUGCUAGAGGAAGCUAAAUGCUUUAAAAUAAAUAACGAAGGAUGACCGAGUCUAGAGUGCCAAAUACGAUCAUCAACCUUGACUCCCAUGCACGAAAACAGUCCAUGUCUUUUAAUGGAAUUAAAACUUGAAUAAGGAUAAACACCAGUGUUACUCCGGCCUGAUAAAAGGAUCCUCCCCGAGCGGAUAUCCUGAACACGGAAGAAAUUAGGAUGAAGGACAAAGAAACAGUCAUUGUCAGAAGAGAAUUGAUUGAUAGAUAAUAUAUUUUGAGAGGCAUCAGGGCAAUAUAAAGUAUUUUUAAGAGUAUAGGAGCUAGUAGGAGAGUAAAUAAAAGAGGUGCCUAUGUGGGAAAUGUGCAAACCUUGAGCACCAUUAACACCACCGACUUGAUCUAUGCCUGUGUACUCCUGUGCAUUUGUAAGUUGUCCAGGAUCAUUAGUAAUAUGUGUGUUCGCUCCAGAGUCCAGAAGCCAUGUUGUGAGAGCAUGAGAUGCAGACUGGGGUACACGGGUUGACUGUGCAGCAAGAGCUGUGAGACGAGCACUUGGAACACGACCUUCAUAAGAAGUAUUCAUACGGUUGUAACAGUCAAUGGCAGAGUGACCAUUACGACGACAAAUCUGACAGCGAAGUGGUGGACGAUCAGACGAAGAGGGACCUGCACCAAGGAUACCGCCAUGGGGACGUCCUGGAUUAGGAGCAGCAGCAACAUGUGGGCGAGCCUGAUUGCCACUACGAGGAUGGACAGCACCACGGCCUCCACCAAGGGCAAAGCCUGCAUGAGCAGUCUGCCGACGUCCACGAUUAGCAACAUGGCAGUCAAGACAGGAGUGUCUCCAGACAAAUUGAAGGUAAGGUGACGAGCUUCAGCACUGAGCAGCAGUGCUUCCAAAGCAGCAUACGAAAUAGGAUUUUCUCGGGCUUGAAUGGAGGCGACUGUGUUCUCAUACAGUGGUCCAACAUUAUUCAUGAUCGUGGCAAUUAAGUCCGAGUCAGCAAUGGGAGAACCAGAUAAGGCUAACUGAUCAGCCAAGGUGUUGAGUUUGUCCAAAUAAUCGGCAAUACUGAGAUCACCACGCCGGAGAUUGAGAAGUUCCCCGCGGAGUUGAAUAACACGAUUGUGGGAGGAAGGUGCAUAUCGGUCCUGUAAAGCCUUCCAGGCCUCGGCAGCACUAACACAUUUGACGACAACAUGCAUAACAGGAGGAGAGAGAGAACUAGUCAGCCAUGAUAGAACCAUCUGGUCAGUUUGGAUCCAAGGUUCGAAGAGAGGAUUGAUGGUGUCAGUGAGUUGACCAUCAUCAUUCAGUUGAUGAGCAGAAGGGCACUGAGAAGUGCCAUCAACAUAUGGCAUCAAACUGCGACUGCGAAGAAGGGGAACAAACUAGGCACGCCACAAGGGAUAAUUAUGGCGAUCAAGUUUUAGAGGAAGAAAUGCAGAAACAUUAGUGAGGGCAGCGGAAGAAGACAUUGUAUUUGGAAGAGAAAUAUGUCGUAAGAAUUGAAAAAGGGAUGAUACCAUAAAGAAUUGUGCUCAAUUGUUGAGCUUCUUUUCAUUUUCUGUUUAUAUAGAACUUUACAAGUAUAGUUAAUUAGAACUUUACAGGUAUAGUGAAUAUUUCACAUGGAUACACUGCAUCAAUGUUUUUGCAUCUGAGUAUGGGCAGCAUUUGUUUAAUGCAUGCUUGGGCAGCAUUUGUUUAAUGCAUGCGUUGAGUGUAUUGCAGAGUCAUUCACAUGGGCAGCAUUUGUUUAAUGCAUGCGUUGUAUGUAUUGCAGAGUCAUGCAGAGUCAUUCACAACACUUGGUUUAUCACCUACAACUUCAAAUUAAAAUUAAUCCUUAGAAACUCGCAUGCUAAAGAUGAAGAUGCAAGUCAAGAUAAAUUUGUUAUUAGUUAGUUUAAUCAGCAUAGUUAAGUUUGUUAUACUUGUUUGUGAUUAGACAAGUUUGUUGUAGUUUCCUUUGUACAUAGCUAAGUGAUAUAUAUACAGUGGAACUAUGAUUGUUUAGGGCCGGAGUAAGGCUAAUCCGAAUAUCAAUACCUCACAAGUCCGAUCAUGAACUUGACAACUUCGAGCAGAGCUAGAUCAAACAUAGCAUGCCACCAUCAUCCAGUUCCAGGGCAAUAGGUGAAGUCCGAGCAACUCAGUUGGUAUGAUUAUGCUUGUUCCACAAGGCACAAGAUUUGAUUCGGAUAUUGACACAAUCAGAUUCCUCAUAAAUCUUUGAGUUCCUACAAUCUAGGAAUUGGCGUGCGCCGCAAGUAAUUACUACUCCUAAGAGGGCGCAAUAUCUACUUCUAGAUAUCUCUUGGGAUUCUUCCAGUUUAGAACAAGAAUUCUAAUCUAAAAAGCUCUCCUCACAGUAUAAAUACACCCAUCUAGUGCUCGUCUUUGGUAACACAAUCUUAGUACUCUAUUCUCUUGCCCACUGUUUGAGCCUAAAAUUGCUUACUAACUUGACUGUUGGACAGCCUUGGCCGACAUACCCCACCCUGGUCCUAGGCUUGCUCACGGUUGUUCUCAAUUUUGCAGAUUGCUCGAAUUUGUGUCUCCAUUAUUUGGAACAAUCUGCAUAUAUAUUUUUUCCAACAACUAGCGCUUUUAUUGAGAAUGAAUUCAUAUUCCUCUCGACAAAAUCACUCUACCCCAAUGGAGAUUCCCCCCAAAUCAUAUCGCGAUGAACUACAUGCUCUAACGCACAACAUUAACCCCGAGAUCGACGGAGUUACCACCAUGUACGAGAUAUAGAAAUAUGUGAUGCAUAUUUAUCUAUCCUUGGAGGACCUUCGACGGAGCCCCUCUCGCCAAAGAACCUAUAAGACUCAUCGAUUUGAAGGCGCGAAUUAAAGACCUGGAAGAGGCCAUCUCGCGCUUUAAAGAAGUGUCAGUCCAGACAAUGGAAAUCGUUGAUCUGACUCUCGAGGCGUCACCCCAACGUCCUUCACCGAAGACGUACCAUAAAAAAUCUAGGAGGCUACAAUGCCUACAUCCCAUCCAACGAUUGGACAAAGAACCAUUCCCUAGAGUGAAUUACAUAUACAGCGAGCAAGAAUGUCUGGAAACACUAGGAAAGAAAGCAGCAUUUGACAAAUUUCUUGUCUAAUAUGAUUUUACGGUAAAGAGACAUGUAAUGCGGCCUAUAGAUAUUGCAAAAUUUCUGAAAAAAAAAUAUUGAGUACAUAAAAGUGUGAAAUUUUUAAAGAUUCAAAAAUUCAAAAAAUUAAGUUAUGAUAUAGCAACUCUGUUGAUUUUUGUAUUUCUAUAUGGUUUUGUAUGUGUUAUUUCUAGAAAAAUGAAGAACAGAAGAAAACAAUGAAAAUUUGAAAAUGGAGAGUAUGGUGCUCUCUUGUAUUUCUCGGUGGAUUCGAUUACAGAAGCAUUCAUUCACACACACAUACAUAAGCUAUGAUGAGGUGAAUAGGGACAAAAAUAACCGUUCGAGUGUGCACGCUUUGCUCGUGUAAGCAAGCUCACGUGUACUACACGGGAUCAAUUUAAAACACCACUAAUCGGGACAGGUGGCACACUCUGCACCAUUUAGAUGUUUUAAUCAUAACCGUUUAUUACACUAGGAUUAUAAACUCCAACAUUCAAAUUAAAACUCAGCCAUAUCAAUUUGAACUGCACUAUGUUGCAAUCCAGCAACCUUGAUUCACAGCAACAUCCUUAUACUGCAACAAGAUCUGUCCAAUUUUGACAAAAAAAAUGACAAUUUCAUCGACUGUCAUUGGAAAAUCUGUUUUACUUAUUAAAUAUGGAUACGAGAAAGACAAUAAAUUAUUCUAGUUCCUAACAACUUUCUCGACUAUAUUAACACAUAAAAAUGAAAUAUUAUGUAUUAAAACUUGUAAUCGGGUAAUACAUUCAAAACUAGAACUAAGAGAAACUAAAAGAGAGAGAGUAUCUACAUGAUAGUUUCUCGUUAUUAUUAUUAUUAUUAUUAUUAUUAUAGUCAUGAGGCUACUUGUACACAAACUGAAUCCACAGAAUAUCUCAGGCUUGAGGGACAAGCAUUUCCCUAACGCGUUUCAUAUGGGCAACCAAUUUUUGGUAGUCAGGAAGGUUGUCUCUGAUGACAGGAACUUGCUUGAAAUUCUGAACCCAUGCAUGCAAUCGAGGCAAAGUGCUUGGCUCAAGCAAUUUGACACCCACCAUUUCUUCAAUGGCUUCGAACCAAAGAGCCAGCCAUCCAUGCGUUAUGUCUACCAACUUUGUACCAUCACCCCCAAAAAACUUCUUGUCUCCAAGCCCUUGCUCUUCUAAUAUUUCAGCGUUUCCAACACUGAUUCGAUUGUCUUUUGUCCAUCUUCUCCGGCAGUUAAUCCGAAAAAUGCAUGAAAACUGAUAUGAUUAAGCACUUAUGUUUUAUAGCGAAACAUAAAUUCGUGCGCAUGCUAAUCAUAGCUAUUUGGCGUCAAUCUGCCCUCCUGCUAGAGGGCAUGAUGGCAAGCUAGGUAGGAAAAAUCCCCAAUUUGAUCAUCACAAUGAUUUGUCUUGUUCUUAACAAACUAAAAAUUAAACUAGUGAGAAAAAUUGAACCCAUAUGAGCAGCAUAAAAAGGUCGUACCCAGUGCAUAAGGCUCCCGCUUUACGCAGCAUAUUUCUGUAAAUUAUUGGAAGUCUCUCAAUGUAUAGUUGAACUAGAUAAUUAAGAGAAAAGCAGGUGACAUAAUUGAAACUUGAAAUUAUUUACGUGAGAUACAUAGAAUUGUAUCCAAAACCGAGCCAAGUCUCUUCCAUAAGUAUCUUCAGGCAGUAGAUGAUAUUCUGGCCAAGUUUCUUCAAUGUAUUCAAGGAUGACAACUGGCUUGGAAAUCGGUUUUUCCCGGUGAAGAAGCACCGGAACCUUCUUGUAAACUGGAUUGCACUGCAACAGAAGGUCACUUUUGUUGGAAAGGUCCUGUUCUAUGUACUCAUAUUCACAACCUUGAACUAUAGAGCUCAUAUAACUCUGUAAACAAACGGACUUGGCCAAAACCCAAGUAGCUUCACUUCUUCCAUUAUUCGUGUGAUCAGGUGAUCGAGGCACGGCCUGAUCAUACAUAAAUACUAAUUUAAAUUUGACUGGGUCUCUA